rnacentral:lncRNA from 1 species
GAGGAUCAUCUUCAAGGACUACGUCGUAGGGUUCCCCACCGAGGACGACAUGGUCCUCACCCCCUCCACCAUCCGAUCGAAGGUCCCCAAGGGAUCGACGGCCGUGAUCCUCAAGAACCUCUACCUCUCCUGCGACCCCUACAUGCGUUGGCGCAUGUCGGCGCCCGAGCACGAGAGCUACACUGACGCCUUCGUUCCGGGAUCUGUGAGCGAAACCCUCGUCUCAAAACCCUAGCAUCUCUUUUUUUUAAAAAAAAAAUUUAAAUUUAGACUUAACUAGUAAUGUACCCGCGCUUUUGCAACGAAUACGAUUUUUAAGUUCAUAAUUAUUAUAUUAUACAUUAUAUAAAAUUGCUUAAUAGAGUCAAAUUCUCUUAUUUAGAGAAAGCGAAGAGAAUAUUAAAUAAAAAUUAAAAUCAGAGACAGAGAGAGCACUUUCAAAUUUUCAAAUAUAGCAUAUUUUACUCAUAAUGUAGAAAAAUAAAACUUAAAGAUUUUUAAAAAUGUAGAAUUAUUAAAUUCAAGUUUAAAAUUAUUUUAAAUAUUCAUAUAUUUUGUUUAAAGGAAAGAGAAAAAAUAAAUUAAAAUCAACUAGCGAGAAAGAAAGUGGUAUGCACAUUUCUUCUCGAGAGAUAGAAAGAGAAUGGUUAAAUAAAAUGAAGUAAGAGAGAAAGUAUCAAUAGGAAUUUAAAAUUUAAAUUUUUGAAGUUGAAAAUUGAGAAUAAAUAUUAUAAAUUUUAAGUUAUAAAUUUUAAAUUUUAAAUUUUAAUUAGAAUUUAAAUUUUAUAAUAUAAAAUUUUCAACAAUAUAUAUAUAUAUUAAUAUAUGUAACUAGUGGUAUACUACUACUUAUAUAUAUAUAUAUAUAUAUAUAUAUAUAUGAAUAGAGCUAGGUUGGUAUACUACUAGUAGCACGAAGGCCUCCGUACUACCAAGUUGUUUUCAAUGAUGUAGUUUCCAAAUCGACGAUCGGCUCCGUUAGACUUGAUCUACACUAUUGAAACUAUUUGAAAACUAAAUUUCAUAAUUUUUCGACAUCAUUUACCUAUCAAACGAGUAGUCUAAAAAUGAACGAUUGAAAUAAAAAUCUCAUAAAAUAUGAUGACAAAAGACUUAAAUUUAAAAUCAGAGCUACUAUUCUAACUCUCAAUAGUAAAAAAAAAAAAAAUUUAUAAAAAUUUUAUCAGAUUUGGAUUGUUUUAUACCGUUAAAUUCACAAACGCAUAACAUCGACCAUUAAAAUUGUCAAUUUUGAGACCUUUUGAUCACUACCCAAAUGAUGUUGAAAAGUUAUGAAAUUUAGUUUUCAAAUACGUUUAAUAGUGUAGGUCAAAUCUAACGAACCCAAUCGUCGAUUUGGAAGCCGAAUAAUUGAAAAUAAUUUGGUAGGACGGAGACCUUCAUGCUAUUGAUAGUAUACCAACCUACCUCUCUCUCUCUCUCUCUCUCUAUAUAGGGGUAGGGAGAGAGAGGAGAGGAGGAUGGUCUAUGGUGCACCGGGUUCACCGAAGGAAGCCAGGGACAUAAUGGCAUAGUAAUAGAUUGGACUCUACCACACUAUAUUUUAAAUAUUGUGUUAUUUUUAUUUGUUAUGUUGUAUUAUUUUUUUUUUAAAUAAAGACACUAUUAUAUUAUUGUAUUGUAUAAUUUUCGACACUUUAUCUUAGACUUAAUUUUUUUUUUCUAUCCUGUAUUAUUUUUUUUUCUAAUAGAUUUUACUAAAUUAUUUUUUUCUCGUCAAUCUCUAUAUUGCUAUUAACAAAUAUAUUGUUGUAGAUAAAAUUUACCAAUUUUAUUAAAAUACACCAGCGAAAUAGAAGAAAAAAAAAAAGUUAAAAUGAAUCUCCAUAAUAAACUCAUUGAAAGUUUUCAUUUUCGUUCCGAAGCCAAGUUGCUUCAAACUGUUGCUUAAUUCACCUUCCUAUUGAAUGAAGCGGUAGCAUGCUACCUUCCUCUCAAAAAAAAGUUUCUUUCAAGUUAUUUUUAAUUAAAGUUUUGUAACUUUUACAUAGUUUGUGCUUUUUAUGGCAAAAUGAAUUGAAUAUAUGCUCUGCCAAGCCCUAACUCACCCUCCGUGGACGAACCUUGCGGAGGUUUUUAACCAGUAUUUUUUAAUAGCUUUUAUAUGAAAUUAUAGAUUUAUUGCUUAUAGUGUAAGAAUUGAAAAAAAAAAAAAAAAUGGUACAUUAUAGGAAAUGUGUGUAAUUUAUACGGUUUAGUUCCUUUUGAAUGGGAGUUUCAGAUUUUAAAUUGGCGGAUUGAGUGAUCAGUUAGGCUAUACUCAUUUGAAAUAUGCGAGCUUGUUAAAUUUCUUGUAAUUAUUGAGAAUGUUAGCUCUCGAGAUCACUGUUUCAUGGCAUUGUGCAACCUAAUUUUUGUCCUCUGAUUCAAUCUGCAGGUCAUUGUUGGUUAUGGUGUGGCGAAAGUUGUCGACUCUGGACACCCAGAUUUCACAGCUGGAGACUUGGUCUGGGGAUUAACUGGUUGGGAAGAGUACAGUCUGAUAACUGCACCUGAAGGCUUGAUGAAAAUCAAACACACCGAUGUCCCGCUUUCUUAUUAUACGGGCAUCUUAGGUAUCUUUUAAUCCAUCCACCUCUUUACAGCGUUUAAUCAAGAUACGUUGUUAACAGAAGCUAUUGCUGUCGUUUUCACGUAAAUUUACUAACAUUUGAGCAUGCGCUGUUUGAACUUUUCCACAAUUUCGCAAACAGAGUGCAAACUCUUACCUUCUUGUAAUAGUGCGAUCAUCUUGUAUUAUCCAAGCAACAUAGUUUUUCUACAUGUUUGUCGUAUGGCUCUCCUGAGACAAAAGAUUGAAAUCUGUUUUGAAGGUAACCUACUAUUUCUACUGUUGUUAAUGAAGCUUUAGUUAAUGCUGUUGCUAUGUUAAGAGUGUUGUUACUGUUGCUUCUGUUGCAGCAUACGGGAAUCGUUUGAAAAUCAUUGUAAAAUGAGAGUUUGUCACUACUAAUUAGAAGAAAAAACCGCAAAUAGUUUCUAACAGAAUGUAAUCAACUCAUGGUUAUUUAUGUGCUGAGAGUACAUAAUUGAGAAAUAAGCAGCAUGAACUUAUGAUUCUGUGGGAUAAAAUAAAACAUACGGCGACGCCUCAUUUUCUCAAUUCGUUUAGUUUUCACAUGAUUUGUCAUGAAUGUCUUCCAAUAUCCGGGGUUUCUGUGCGAUUACUGCAGGAAUGCCGGGGCAUACUGCUUAUAUUGGAUUCCAUGAAAUAUGUUCUCCAAAGAAAGGAGAAAGAGUCUAUGUUUCAGCGGCAUCAGGCGCAGUUGGUCAGCUUGUUGGCCAAUUUGCUAAGCUGAUGGGGUGCUAUGUGGUUGGGAGUGCAGGCUCCAAAGAAAAGGUAUUAUCUUAAGCUGUACUCUAUGAAUUGUGGUACCCCACUUACAUCAUGUUGUUGAAAGUAUAUCCUGCGAAAAACAAAAAAGAAAAACUGGCUAUUAUAUUUGUUCUUCGUCGAUGCCUAUGUUCAGGUUGAUCUCUUAAAGAAUAAGUUUGGGUUUGAUGAUGCUUUUAACUAUAAGGAGGAGAAAGAUCUCAAUGCUGCCUUGAAAAGGUUAGUCGAUAAACUAGCUUAGACUUUUUUCUUAAUAUGUAUAUAUGUUCCUGAUCCACACUGCUUAAGGAGUUUUCUUAUACAUAGCACAGAAGUCUAAAAGAGCAAACAUCUUAAGCCUAAGUUCUGAAGAACAUUGUGGUGAACAAUCUGAUUAGAAAUGCCUGACCCCAAAAAAGAAAAAGAAAAUAAAAUCUCUAAUGGAUGUUGCCACAUCUAAAGUUUAAUAACACCCCUUAGCUACUUUAGAAAGUGUAAAGGCUCAAAAUUUUUUUAAAAAAGAAACACUUUUAUAGCUUGUAUUCUCUUUUUUGUGCCUUCUGCAAUUUGAGAUGACUUAAUUCUUCAUGCGCGCACACACAACAGACAAGAAGAAGAGGAAGAAGAACCCGAUAACUUGGUCUUGUAAAUAUUCGCAGGUGUUUCCCAGACGGAAUCGACAUCUACUUCGAGAACGUGGGGGGCCGAAUGCUUGACGCAGUUCUUCUGAACAUGAGAGCUCACGGUCGAAUCGCGGUCUGCGGAUUAAUAUCUCAGUACAACCUCACCCAGCAAGAAGGCAUCCACAACUUGUUCAACGUCGUGACGAAAAGGCUCCUCUUGCAAGGCUUCAUUUUCCCGGAUCACCUGCACCUCUAUCCCAAGUUCUUGGAAAUGGUCAUUCAGUAUAUAAGAGAAGGUAAAGUCGUUUACGUCGAGGAUGCUGCAGAAGGAAUAGAGAAGGCUCCUUCCGCACUCGUCGGCCUCUUUGCGGGCCGUAAUGUCGGCAAACAGGUUGUCGUCGUCGCCCGCGACUGAUGUGUCUGAGUGUUGCAAUUAUUGUUGUGGAUUUGUGCAAUUAUUGUUUGUGUGUAUCAAUCAACUCUGCUGUAGUUGGUGUCAGCAAUGAAGAUGACAUUUGUGAUCAGAAUAAUGAAAUGAUAUUUCUAAGAUCAGAGGUUUUAGAUGUACUUGUAUGAUAUUUUUAAAAUCAUAGUUAAUGUUUCCCGUUAUUUCCCUAAUCAUACAAGCUUAUAUUAAUCCUGGCUUCUAAAAUCUCAGUUUAAUCAUGCCAACAAAGCAUACUAUUAAUUGAAGAUUAAAAAAACAAAUUUUGUAUAGUAACAAAAGAAUUAUUAAAAUCCUCAUCAACUACCAGAUGGAAAUACCAUUAAUUUAUUAAGUUUCUGCAUAAAAUGGAAACUAAAAAGAACACACAUGUUUUCUACUUUACAGGAGAGUCACAUUCCCAUUUAUCUGCGUUGCAUGAAUCUCACAUUUACAUGUUUAUAAAUUUUUUUAUUAUAAAUUGAUUUAACAUAAUAUCAUAAUUAUUAUACAAAAUUAUUCAUCAAAAAAUUAUUUAUAAAAUCAGGCCUAAAGUACAUCACCAUACAAAAAUAAAAAUAAAUGAAUCACCACUUUCUAAAUACCAUAAUUCAUUUUCGCCCCCCUUAUUUAAAAUAUAUUAAAAUUAUUUGAGAGUACUUUUAAAGACAGUAAAUCAUUUACUGUUUUUAAAACUAAACAUAAUAAAUGAUUUAUCAUUUAUUUGUCUGACUUUGCACAAAUAAAUUUAAUUUUGAAAAUAAAAAUUUAAAAUAUUUAUAGUUACAAUUAGAAAUCUCAAUAGGCUUACUGGCCAAUAUUCCCCAUUUAUAUCAUAUAUGACAAAUUAAUUUCAUCGUCUCUAACCAGCGGGAUAUCACCAUGUGCAAAAAAAAAUUUAAGCACAUGGUUUUAGGCGGAGAUCACAAAUAAGUUCCUAUUUACUAUAAAAUAUUAAAAAUAUUUUAGAGUGUUUUUAAAAACUGAAUCGUUUAUUUUUAAAAAAAACUAAACGAUUUUAUCAUUUAUUUGUCGACUUUACAUAAAUAAAUAUUCAUCAUCUAUAUCAUAUAUUCAUAUAUGACAAAUUAAUUUCGUCGUCUCUGAGCUGCGGGAUACCACCACGUGCGAAAAACUUUUAGGAUAAAUUUUAAAUAUUAUUAUUAUGGUUUCGUACUUUUUCGCUUUAGUACUAUAUAAUUUAAAAUGUAUCAAUUCAAUAUUCUGUGGAUUUCUUUUUUUUCGUCAGUCCCUCCAUUAAUUUUUAUUUAAAUUAUGUAUAAAAACUUUUUAGAUGCUCUAUCUAUAGUUUAUUAAAUAUUUACUCUUUAGUACCAUUUAGUUUUAACUUUAAUACUAAUUUAAUAAAAAUAAUUAGUAAAAAAUUAAUAAAAUAAAAAUAAAAUUACGAAAGUAAAAUAUUUUAAAUUAUAAAAUAUUAAAAUAAAAAAUGCAAAAUAACACGGUGGUAUUUGAAGUUUUUUUAAAAUUUUAAGCUAAUGUUUUGAGGCUUCCUAUUUACUAUUUUAAUAAUAAUAUAUUCGAAAAAAGAACCACCAUAUAUAUCAUAUGGACCACGCCAUUAAUUGUGAGCUCGAGUUAGAAGUAGACGACGACGACGACGACGACGACGACGAAGAAGAAGAAGAAGUAGCUUAGAGAUCGCAACAAUGGCGACGGAGGGGGAGGAGCUGAGCAACAAGAGGAUCAUCCUCAAGGACUACGUCGUAGGGUUCCCCACCGACGAGCACAUGGUCCUCACACUCUCCACCGUCCGAUCGAAGGUGCCCGAGGGAUCGAUGGCCGUGAUCGUCAAGAACCUCUACCUCUCCUGCGACCCCUACAUGAGGGGCCGCAUGUCGAGGCCCCUCCACAAGAGCUACACCGAGGCCUUCGUUCCGGGAGCCGUGAGCUCGAACUCUUCUCCAAACCCUAGCUUCUCUAAUUUUUUUUUGAUGUACAGUUUUAGUAAUUUCGAGGGUUUCGUUGCCUGUGAAGUGAAUUCAGUGAUAAAAAACGCAAUUCUCGUUUGAAAACUGCAAUUUUGCCGAGUUUUUCGUUGCGAUUAUGGGGAAUUUUAGCUCCCGGGAUUAUGCUUCAUGUAGAGCCAGGUAUAUUUUGGGUGGAUUAUUGGUGUUUUUUUUGCUAGGUUCAUUAAAUCGUUAAAUGGGGUGUCUAAUUUAGAUUAUCUAUUAUGUUCUUCUAAUGUUCGUAUUCUUAUUAUUGCGAUAUUGAUCUAUUGAGCAUAAUUGUAUCAAAAAAUUUAAAAACUGUGGGGAUUUGGAACUUUGGAUGAGUGUUGCAAGUAAGUUAUGGCUAAGCACUGCAAUUUUUGAUUGAAUAUGCCACCCCUUUCUUAUUAUACCAAUGAAAAUGGUCACUUGUGCAAUUUUCGCUCAUUCCAAUUGCUUGAAUUAUCUCUUCUUCUUUUUUUGAAAAAUUCAGUAAUAUUUGGGUGGAUUAUGCUUGUCAAGUUUUCCGACGAUUACUUAUAUCACUUUUCUGCAGUAUUUAGCUUCUUUUCAUUCUACUAGUAGUUUGUUUUAUCCAUGUAGGCUGAAUAAGUAUUUUUAAGUAACUGUUAAUUCCUUAGUAUCUAAUGGCAUGAUAUGACCUGAAUUUUAUUCUAUGAUUAAUCUGCAG